rnacentral:misc_RNA from 1 species
UUUCCGUAGGUGAACCUGCGGAAGGAUCAUUAAUGAGUUGUCAUGGGGUUCGAUGCUGGCAGCCAGUUUUUGGAUGCAUGUGCUUGCCCUAACAAUCAUCUUCUUCCAAACACCUGUGCACAUUUUUGAGGGAGUCUUGAGUUGGUUGCCGCUCUUGGGUGAUUUUCUCACAUUCCCUUAAAUCAUUAUACGCUAUUAACAAUGUUGAACGUGCUCUGUGCCGCAAGGCCAUUAAUAUAAUACAACUUUUAACAAUGGAUCUCUUGGCUCUC